rnacentral:misc_RNA from 1 species
GAUGAAGAACGUAGUGAAAUGCGAUAAGUAAUGAGAAUUGCAGAAUUCAGUGAAUCAUCGAAUCUUUGAACGCACCUUGCGCCCUUUGGCCAUUCCGAAGGGCAUGCCUGUUUGAGUAUCAUGAACACCUCAACUCUUCAUGGUUUUCCGUGAUGAGCUUGGACUUUGGGGGUCUUGCUGGCCUAUGGUCAGCUCCUCUAAAAUAAAUCAGCUUGCCAGUGUUUGGUGGGUAUCACAGGUGUGAUAACUAUCUACGCUUGUGGUUUUCCACCAGGUAACCUUCAGCAGUGGAGGUUCGCUGGAGCUCACAGAUGUGUCUCUCCUCAGUGAGGACAGCUCUUUGAAUGUUUGAUCUCAAAUCAGGUAGGACUACCCGCUGAACUUAAGCAUAUCAAUAAGCGGAGGA